rnacentral:sRNA from 1 species
UUCUGCCUCCUCUCCCUGCCAACAAGAAAACUUGAAGAUUAAGGAAGCAGCUUGUUCUUUUUGCCUAGAUGAGGAAAUUACAGCUGGGUCGGGAACAUCUGAGAGUGAAAUCUGAAUCGGCCUACCUUCCAGAAGGUUUGCUGUUAGGAGCCUCAGAGUGUGAAGAGAUUUCACAGGAGAAGGGACACAUGGUUCCUCCAGCUUUGCCACACAGACUUUCGUGAACUGAGCCUAGGAGAAACCCUCACCCCUCCCAGGCUGCUGUUGGUCCCUUGGGGACUUGCUGGUGCAUGAUGGUACAGGAAGUAAAACAGGAAGAAGGCAGUUUGCAAUAGUUUAGCAGCUGUGUUAUUGGUGUUGUAGCUGGAUGUGCAGUGACAACAGAGAUUUCCUGCUAGAGAUGAAGUCUGCAAAGCCAAAGAAAC